GUUGUUGACAGACAUAUGUUCAGUGAGACAAAACGAUGACCACAACGAUGGGGAAUCAUUCAGACUUGAUAGUUUAUAUCUGCCUCCUUUUGUGCAAUACACUACAGAAUACAUCAUAGUAUAUUCAAGUUGCCAACACACUGAUGUGAAGAACCCUUUCCAGAGAAAUAUAGAAGGAAAUGACUGUGUAAGUAACAUUGCUUUUAAUCCAUCAAUUUAUCUCUAUCAACAUAAUCACACACAAUAUUGUAGUAACAAUAUAUUGUAAUCUUUAUUUGCUGGGAAAUUGUCAAAUUUGUGUUUUAAAUUUGUCAACACAAAUGUCAAAUUUGUGUUUUAAGAACAUCUGACACGUUCCUAAACCAGAAAUGUAAAGAAGAACAUGCUCCACUUGCAUGUGUAAGCACACUGCCAUAUGCAUAGUUUAUUUUUGCACUGUUAAUCAAUUUUACAUUUUCACUCAGUGCAUGUCAAUGUAAGGAAGACGCUGUACUACAGAUAUUUAAAUAUUUUUUGUAUGUACUCCACUUUUUCACUGCCUGACCAUCAUCUUAAUGUUUAUUAUAAAUUAUUAUAAAUUAUUUUUUACAUCUAAAGCACCUUGUUCAAUACGUAUUUAGAUGUUGUUCAUAUCUGUCACGGUCUAAGCAUGAUCUGUUUCUGUUGUUCUGAUGAAGGAAGCUUGUGUUGGGGAGGAUUCAAUGUCUGUUGAUAAACACGUGAAUGUGCUACAAAGUGAGUUUCAGAAACACAUCCAGACACAUGGACUGUCAAAGACCACACAGGAACAUUCUCCUGGAGACGCUGAGAAAGCACAGAAGGAAUCUCUGUGGAGGAUGUACUCAAACACACCCAGACUUCAGGACACCUGCUGGAGGGGACCCUGCUACAACCUUUCCUACCAUACACCUGAUGUAUAGUGACUGUACAAUGGCAAUCAUACUUAGAGGCAGGGGCGUCGCUAGGCCCUUUUUAGGGGGGCUUCAGCCCCCCUAAACUUAUGCCCAGCCCCCCUAAAA